rnacentral:rRNA from 1 species
CUCCUUUGACGUUAGCGGCGGACGGGUGAGUAACACGUGGGUAACCUACCUAUAAGACUGGGAUAACUUCGGGAAACCGGAGCUAAUACCGGAUAAUAUUUCGAACCGCAUGGUUCGAUAGUGAAAGGUGGUUUUGCUAUCACUUAUAGAUGGACCCGCGCCGUAUUAGCUAGUUGGUAAGGUAACGGCUUACCAAGGCGACGAUACGUAGCCGACCUGAGACGGGUGAUCGGCCACACUUGGAACUGAGACACGGUCCAGACUCCUACGGGAGGCAGCAGGU